rnacentral:rRNA from 1 species
ACGCUCGACACCUACGGGAAGCAGCAGUGGGGAAUAUUGCACAAUGGGGGAAACCCUGAUGCAGCGACGCCGCGUGAGUGAAGAAGUAUUUCGGUAUGUAAAGCUCUAUCAGCAGGGAAGAAGAUGACGGUACCUGAGUAAGAAGCCCCGGCUAACUACGUGCUAGCAGCCGCGGUAAUCUGAGCGGGCUGGCAAGGC